rnacentral:rRNA from 1 species
GUCCACGCCGUAAACGAUGGGCACUAGGUGUGGGGGGUGUCGACUCCCUCCGUGCCGAAGCUAACACAUUAAGUGCCCGCCUGGGGAGUACGGCCGCAAGGCUAAAACUCAAAGGAAUUGACGGGGGCCCGGCACAAGCAGCGGAGCAUGUGGUUUAAUUCGACGCAACGCGAAGAACCUUACCUGGGCUUGACAUGUGGAUGACCGGCCUGGAAACAGGUCUUCCCUUCGGGGCAUCUUCACAGGUGGUGCAUGGCUGUCGU